UACAGAGGUCUCAAGCGUUGUUCGGAUUCAUUGGGCGUAAAGGGUGUGUAGGUGGCGCGCUAAGUCGGGUGUGAAAUUUCGGAGCUUAACUCCGAAACUGCAUUCGAUACUGGCGUGCUUGAGGACUGGAGAGGAGAGUGGAAUUCCUGGUGUAGCGGUGAAAUGCGCAGAUAUCAGGAAGAACACCCGUGGCGAAGGCGGGUCUCUGGGCCAUAACUGACGCUGAGGAGCGAAAGCGUGGGGAGCGAACAGG
rnacentral:rRNA from 1 species